rnacentral:rRNA from 1 species
UACGGAGGGUGCAAGCGUUAUCCGGAUUCACUGGGUUUAAAGGGAGCGCAGGCGGAUUUGUAAGUCAGUGGUGAAAGGCUUAAGCUUAACUUGGGAACUGCCAUUGAUACUAUAAGUCUUGAAUGUUGUUGAGGUUUGCGGAAUGGGUCAUGUAGCGGUGAAAUGCAUAGAUAUGACCCGGAACACCUAUUGCGAAGGCAGCAGGCUAAACAAAUAUUGACGCUAAGGCUCGAAAGCGCGGGGAUCAAACAGG